UUCAACCUCGUAGCAAAUGCGCACGUCACGUAGAUUUUAUAAAAAUAGAUUUGGCGCUUGAGCGUUGGUUGUUACCAUUUUGUUUUCUCCUGACCCUGUGUACGAGGUUGCAAUCGGUUUUGCGCUUUCGUCAUCCAUAUAUGUAGGCUAUGCCGAAGCAACUGCGGACGCUUUCUUGAUCGCUUGUUUUCUGUGUUUCUGAAGAGUGUUUUGACAGCCUACAGGAGUUUACCACAAGAAAUCAACUACUUUUUUGUAACUGCACGUACUUCGGGAACAAAAUUCAGCGGCAGCAAAGAAAAAUGAGUGACAAAGUCGAGGAGAAGAAACGGAGAAGCAAACACAAACGGUCCCGGCAUACACGUUCCAGGUCACGUUCCCGGUCGCGGUCCCCUGCCUUGUCUGACCACACCCGGUCCCGGUCGCGCUCCCGUGGCCACUACCGGUCACGCUCUCGCAGCAGUUCAUACUCCAGGUCACCGCGUCGCAGUAACCGCUCGCGAUCGCGCUCCCGAGACCGGUACAACAGGCGAUCCUACUCCAGGUCACCCAUUCGAGGCUACCGCUCGCGCUCCAGGGAUCGCUAUAGGGGCAGGUCAUAUCGGGAUAGGAGUCCACGACGAUCCUACCGACGUGAACGCAGCACUUCUCCGUUGUCUGACAGGCGACGCCAUGUUGGGAGCAGGGAGAACCCGACUGAGAACGAUUGCAUUGGAGUGUUUGGCCUGAGUUUGUAUACCACAGAAACUGACUUGAGAGAGGUGUACACAGUGUAUGGGCCGCUGGACCGAUGUGAGGUUGUGUACGACCACAAGACUGGCAGAUCCCGAGGUUUUGCAUUUGUUACCUUCCAUAAUGUCGAGGAUGCCAGAGACGCUAAGGUUCGUACGGACGGGAUGGAGAUCGACGGCCGGCGUAUCCGUGUGGAUUUCUCCAUCACCAAGCGAGCUCACACCCCAACACCAGGCAUCUACAUGGGCCAGCCAACAUUAAUGAAGAAAAUUUGAUUUCUGUGAAGAAGACGCAGAAGAGUUGAAGAAAAGAAGAGAAGAAUGUGUACACCCGGAAAAGCGCAGGGACUUCCGUGAUUUAUCGCCCUACCGCUCCAGGGGACGGUCCUUCUCACGCUCCCGCUCACGGUCAGCGCACAGGUCACGCAAGAAGUCAUGGACCAGAUCCAGGUCACGAUCCAGGUCAUAAGGUCAUCAAGGACCAGAGUGUAGAGGAAGGUGGAGUUCCAUGUCAUAAGGAGUUUGCAGCGUGGCCGGGAUGACUGCUUAGCCACUUCGUUCUUCAGAGCAGUCUUUUUUUCCCCUGCAUACAACCAGUAAAACUAACUUUAUUGUUUGUGCACGUGUAACACCCUUGUAUAUAGCGAUUUAGUUGAAGAAUCAUACAUUAAACUAAUCACAGAGGAACGCAGUUUGGGGGAAUAGACAUUUUGGAAUGUAAUAACCAGUUGUUGAGGACCUGAUUUAAAAAAAAAAAAAAAUCAAAGUUUAGAAAAUUCAAAGGAAGAUUCAUUCAUUUGUAACUGUGUUUUUUUAGAGAAACAUUCACUCGCAAAAGAAAAAAAACGUAGAACCGUGCUAUACAGGCAAGCAACUUUUCCUCGGAUCUGCUGAUUUCCUCGUUUUUCACUUCACACUUAUGCCAUUAAAAAUGGAAAAACACUGUAUAAAGUCUUGUAAAAAUUGAAAUUGUUCUCUUUUUUUCUUAAAUAUAAGUUGCAUGCCUGGCUAUACAUGUAGUUAUCCCACAAAAAUGACUUUGAGCAAGUGCCCUGUUCGUGAUCACUUUUAGUGAAAAUUUGGUGAGUGAUAUCUGAACAGAAAAUAAAGUAGUUAUUUGGCAUUCAUGUAAAGCUCACUUACUGCUGCUUAUUGACAGAAAAUGCUCUUUGUCACAUAUUCUCCGUCAACUUUCUUGUCUGUAUUCUGCACCUCUUUUUUUAUUUUGCGUGUGGCAAGUUUUUUUUGGCAAGGGUUUUGCACAGGGCUACUUUGAAAGUUUAGUUGUAGAGAGUUAAAUUUUUUUUAAUGUAUUAAAGCCUCUUAAUAAUGUUCAGCGUCAAUAUGACUGAAAUGAUGUUUUUUGUUCAAACAUUUAAAAAAAUUUCCCAUAUAUAGACAAACUCUUUUUAAGCCAUGAAGUUGCAUAGCGAAAAAUGUUCAUUGAGUUACGUGUUAAACAUGUUUUGGCUCAUACCUGCCUUUGUGAAGCAAAACUAGUCUGAAUUGUGUGUUUGUUUGAAGAACUUUUGAAGCCUCUUACUGGUGAUUUAAAAGGCACAUCAGAACACACCUACUUUUGUUUGAUGGCUGUUCAUUAUUUUCAUUGUUUUGCAUGUAGAAGCCCAUAGAAUGAGCCACAUACAUUUGAACCAUUUACUAAAACUAUUCAAUCAUCUUUUCAGACAACAAAGAAGUAUACAUGUAGGAAGGUUUGCUUUAGCACUGUUGGGAAAGUAUCUCUUUUUGGCCUACAUGUGGUUUAUCUUUCUUUUGUCAACCGUAAAAAAAAUCAAAACCUAUAACAUGUACUUCCACUACGUAAACCUUUGCAAAUCUUUCUGGGUAUGUUAAAAUGUUGCCGUAAAAAAAAUGUGUUCUAGUUUGCUUCUUAUAUCCAUUUUUUUUUUCUUAGUUUGGAUUAGUUUAAAACAAUAUUUUACUCUAUUUCGUCAUCUAUUUUAUAUACAGGUAUUAUUAAUUUCUUUGGAGAAAGUAACCUGAAGGUUUUUCUAAAUUAAAGUGGUUUUUAAUUGAUUGAAAUGCACCAUACUAACGAUAUGUACACAGAAAAAAAAUGCUCUUUGAGAAAUAUUAGAAUGUACAAGUUGGUUAGAUAAGAAAUAAUUGCUUGUUCAAACUUGUUACAUUGUUUAGAAAUAGUUCCUCUCUGCUUUUGUGUUCAGUAAUAUGCAUGACUUUAGCAAGUAGAAUUGUAUCUGUAUGGUAGUAUUUGUAUGUACAUCACAGUUUUGUAGUUGAUAUUUCAUCCAAUUGAUUGAGUUUGAAGAACAUGUAUACCUCAAUGCUAUUAUUACAGAUGAUCACGCUAUAAGAGUAUUGUAUUCGAGCAUGGUCGUUAAAUGUGAAGAAAAAAAAUGCUGGUUUUUUAAAAAUUAAUCUACUAGCUGACCUGUAUUUACCGAAUAUUGAUGUAGUUAUUAUGCCUGUUGUGCUGCACUGAUAUGUGUUUGGAUUGUUCAUGAUGUGACAAUAAAGGAAACAGAAAUUUA